UUAUCUCUUAAUAUUUUAUUUUAUUUAUUUAAUUAUUCCUAAAAAUCAGUUUCCUUCCCCACAUGUACUAUUCAUCAUCUUCCCCAAACAUAAUCUCAUUCUGAUUUUCGAACUCUACCCACUCAUCCCUUACCUCUUGAUUUCGAAACCCAGAUCAAGGUGAACCUCCCUCUUUUCGCACAUUAGAGUAAAGCAAGCAAUACUCAUCUUCUACCUCUAAUGCUCGCAAGAAAACACAGCAUACCCUUCCCUCCUUGCCUUCGAUUUUGAUGAAAAUGGAGCAGGUAUAACAUUUUUUUUCUGUGUUCUCUUGUUUCUUGCUUUGGAUAUUCGAAAAGCAAAACCUAUCUUUUUCCUCUGAUUUUCUGAAAAUAAUACACAAGAACAGCAUCAGGUAUAGUUUCCCUUUCUUUUCUUUAAUUUUUGAGCACAUUUACUACAUUCAUCUUCAUGUUCCUCUGAUUUCGAACCCUAACAACAACCAAUAGCAGCGGGCUUCUUGCCUUAUUUGGAUCCGAAAAUCAGCAAUUACCUUGUUUCUUGGUCUUCAAUACCACACAUUACUGGUACUAAGACUUGAUUAUUAUACUUCUCUAUUCACAUUCUCACUGAAAUUAUUGUUGAAAUUCAGCAAUACAGGUACGAUCUUCUUCCCAUCUAAUUUUCUGAUUUGUGAACCAAUCCAGAAUCUCAUUUGCUCGGUUCUUAGCCCUCAAACAGGCGGUAACAGCCGCGUACCACCCUCCUCAUUCCCGGAACUCGACCCUAUACAGCAGCAAUAACACCUUUAUGCCUGAGACACUGAAUUAGCAGCCUACACUACCUGCCAGCUUUCAUUUUGGGUCGAAAGAAGAUGCUGGCAACCUUCUGAUUGUGGAAUUCCUCUUCCAUCUUUUCUGUUGCCUAAAAAGAAUUAGAAGGAUACGACUACGUCGAUGAACCCUUCUAGUCAAUUGCGGUGAACCGGUCUUGACUCCUUGAAGCGUCUUUUCGAUGUUUACGGAUCGGAACAUGUCGGGAACGAUAGUUUAGCGGUGAUGAUUAGAGUUACAGAGAUGUUAUAUUGAGCUGGGUACGUGAGAAGUGUAGUAUUGUAUUAGGUUUUUGAUAGAUGUGUAUUAGACUUGACUGCGUUGGUUAUAUUGGACUUAUAAAGUAACUUUUAUGAUUACUUUGCAUCUUAGCUAAAUGUUCGAUUUGAGAAUUAGCUGAGUUAGUUAUGUUAAAGAACUGGUGGCUCCUUUGCUCAAGUUUUGAAAUUGUGAUUUAAGUUUCUUGGGAAGCAGACGCAGACCCCUUAAUGACCCUGUUUACCUAAUCAACAAUAAGUGGAGUUGUUACAGUUUAUUUGGAUUAUCAAUUUAAUUUUGUAUCUAGGAUUUCGGGAGGGUUUCAAAAUCGGGUUCUAGACCCAUAUGGAAUUUUUCACAAUUUUAAAUUUAUACUAAAGUUAAAUUAAACAAAAUUAAAUUUCGUUAUAAAGUCAAAUCAAUGUCAAAUUUUUAAGUGUAUCUUAGAAAUCUUCUAAUCCUAUGAGUACUAAUAACGUUGUCCACUGGAAAGUUAGGUGCCACUCACCAUACUGUGUUCAUACGUGUUUAGAUAUUUUCUGAUCUUGUAAGUGACUUUUAAUGAAGAAAAUUGAGAAACGUGUUAAAUACUUAAGACCACUUCUUCAUUUCUACAGUCAUAUGAAGACAUAUACUUAGUCAUAAGAAGAUCUUUACAAAGAUUUUGCCUCUCAACUUGAGAAAAACAUGGAAUUGUAAUAGUUUUGUCAAGUUCUGGUCAUAAUCUAGAUGUUGAGGUCCUAAAUAUUUUAAAGGUAUGGAAUUGUAAAUAACAGUGAUGUUUGAAAUUAAUAAAUCAUGCUUAUAUCUAUAUGGUAAAAUUUAAUAUGGUGAGAGUUUUGUAAUUUUAAUUAACCUUUUUUGAUUUUAUUUAUUUUAUUAUUAUUAUUAUUAUUAUUAUUAUUAUUAUUAUUAUUAUUAUUGUCUUUUUGUGGUGAUUAUAAAUCACGGUUAUUGAUUAGAAAUUAUUGCUCUUAAAAAACAAGUUUUAAGACCAAGACUAACCACUAAUACCUACUACUUCCUCCAUUUUAUUAUACUUGCUACAAUUGUCUUUUUACAGCAACUAUUCAUUAUUUUAAUAAUUUAUAUAUUGAAUUAUGCACAUCUAAAAAUUUUAAAAACUAUUAUUAAAGUAUGCGAUUAAAC